AUUGCAUGGUAACAAGAUUACCAAACCACUGAUGGGCUAAUUCGUGUUGUACAACUUCGGCUACACGUUCAAUUACAGUAGCAGCGGAAUCCUCAGAAACCAAGAUGGCAGCAAGUCUGUAGGUAACUAAACCCCAAUUUUCCAUAGCACCUGCUUCAAAAUCAGGAAUAGCAACCAUAUCGCAUUUGGGUAAAGGAUAUGGCUCGCCAAAUACACCAGAGAAGAAGUCUAAGGUCUUAGCACCUAAUUCCGCAGCAAAUUUACCCUGUUCGGAAAACCCAGGUGUAGUAUAAACACGAACAGGAAGACGGGGGCAAUGCUUGCCAGGGGUGAAAUACUCAACGUAUUCGAGUUCGGCAACAAUCCAAGCCAAAAGGUAAGUGGACAUUCGGCAAGUUUCGGCAAAACGGGCAGUUUUCAAACCAUCCUUGACAGUUUCCUCAACGGCAUUCAUGUUACUAAGGAUAGUAUAGUUUUCCUUAGCAGUGAUAUCGAUGGUAAAGGUAGCUUUCAAAGCAGGUUCAUCCCAGCAGGGGAAAGCACGACGAGCACUAGUAGGCUCCAUCUGGGUCGUGGCAAGAUACUUGGUAUUACCAUCGCUGUCAACGUAACUAGAGCGGUAGAAACCCUCCAUGCCACUGGAAAUACGGGCAGUGAAAGGCAACGUCAAAACAGCAACAGAGUUGGCUGGGACAGUGGAGGGAAAUUGAAGAACGAUACGCUCAUCCCCAUAAGAGACUUCGCUGGCCCAGACGGUUUGGCUGCCCCAUUCUAACGCAGCCGUCAAAAUACGAAGGUUAAUGCCAUGUAGAGUAAUACUGUUGCUGUCCUCAAGUACAUCCAAGGUAACGACGACUUUACCGCCGUAAGUGAACGUCUCCAAAUCUGGAUAUAAACUCAAAUCAUAGUGGAUGGGUUUAACAUUUUUUGGAAGCAAAUUCCGAUUUUUAUCGUCUUCCUUAGAAGUAGAUUUAGGAAUGGUGACUUGCAUUUUUACAAAAGAAAAAUAACGCUGAAAAUCAAUACAGCUAAACUAGCCAGAGCAAUAAUGAAGCUGAAUAGAGCAAAUGUGAUACGAUAGUGGGAAAGGUGAAGGAAGAAUUUGCCAACUAAUUAAAUAAUGGUACAAAAACCGUAGGAAGAUGGAAUUACGAACGAUGAGUCAGUUAGUUAGAAAAAGUAUCGAUACGAACAAACAAACAGCCGAUAACGAUCGAUAGAGUAAUUCAACAGACUCCUUAAUUAAUCUUAAAAAACCUAACGUUAAUUUUAAAUUUUAAUAGUCAAAGAAAUGUAGAUGUCGUUUUCCACGCUGUGGAAAUGAGAACGAUGGGAAACGGGAUGGAACAGAUGAUAAUUUGUCCAACAACGCUGAAAAGCACACGAUUACACACUUAAACGUAAUGAUAUUUUCCAAGCAACAAACGAAAAACGUAAAGACACUAAACGACGAAAAGAUGUAAUAGGUCUAAGCUGCCAAUGAAGAUGGUUAAGUAGGUAGUUGGUGUAAGUAGAAGGUUGGUGAAAGCACUAUG